AUUGAACGCUGGCGGCAGGCUUAACACAUGCCAGUCGAACGAGCGGCGGACGGGUGAGUAAUGUCUGGGAAACUGGCUGAUGGAGGGGGAUAACUACUGGCAACGGUAGCUACUACCGCAUACCAUCAGAUGUGCCCAGAUGGGAUUAGCUAGUAGGUGGGGUAAUGGCUCACCUAGGCGACGAUCCCGAGCUGGUCUGAGAGGAUGACACGCCACACUGGAACUGAGACACGGUCCAGACUCCUACGGGAGGCAGCAGUGGGGAAUAUUGCACAAUGGGCGCAAGCCUGAUGCAGCCAUGCCGCGUGUGUGAAGAAGGCCUUCGGGUUGUAAAGCACUUUCAGCGGGGAGGCGUUACUCGCAGAAGAAGCACCGGCUAACUCCGUGCCAGCCGCCGCGGUAAUUC
rnacentral:rRNA from 1 species